UACGGAGGAGGCAAGCGUUAUCCGGAAUUAUUGGGCGUAAAGCGUCCGCAGGUGGCGAUUCAAGUCUGCGGUUAAAGACUGGGGCUUAACCCUGGAAAGGCCGUGGAAACUGAAACGCUAGAGUGCAGUAGGGGUAGAGGGAAUUCCCGGUGUAGCGGUGAAAUGCGUAGAGCUCGGGAAGAACAUCGGUGGCGAAAGCGCUCUGCUGGACUGCAACUGACACUCAGGGACGAAAGCUAGGGGAGCAAAUGGG
rnacentral:rRNA from 1 species